rnacentral:rRNA from 1 species
CCUACGGUGGGCAGCAGUGAGGAAUAUUGGUCAAUGGGCGCGAGCCUGAACCAGCCAAGUCGCGUGAGGGAAGACGGUCCUAUGGAUUGUAAACCUCUUUUGUCGGGGAGCAAAAGACGCCACGCGUGGCGUUCCGAGAGUACCCGAAGAAAAAGCAUCGGCUAACUCCGUGCCAGCAGACGCGGUAAUACGGAGGAUGCGAGCGGUAUCCGGAUUUAUUGGGUUUAAAGGGUGCGCAGGCGGAAGAUGAAGUCAGCGGUAAAAUUGAGAGGCUCAACCUCUUCGAGCCGUUGAAACUGGUUUUCUUGAGUGAGUGAGAAGUAUGCGGAAUGGGUGGUGUAGCGGUGAAAUGCAUAGAUAUCACGCAGAACUCCGAUUGCGAAGGCAGCAUACCGGCGCUCAACUGACGCUCAUGCACGAAAGUGUGGGUAUCGAACAGGAUUAGAUACCCUUGUAGUC